UGCGUAGGCGGGUCUUUAAGUCAGGGGUGAAAUCCUGGAGCUCAACUCCAGAACUGCCUUUGAUACUGAAGAUCUUGAGUCCGGGAGAGGUGAGUGGAACUGCGAGUGUAGAGGUGAAAUUCGUAGAUAUUCGCAAGAACACCAGUGGCGAAGGCGGCUCACUGGCCCGGUACUGACGCUGAGGCACGAAAGCGUGGGAGCAAACA
rnacentral:rRNA from 1 species